rnacentral:lncRNA from 1 species
GGGUCUGGGUGCGCGAGCGUUUGUGCUCUGCUGGCAGCCUGUGUGGGGUGACCGCCCCGUUAGCGGGGUGUGGGUCGAGGUGCCCCGGACUGGGAGAGAAGGAGCCUCUCCCGGCCGUAGGGAUGGGGGCUGCCCUGUAAGUCAGGGAGCAACCGUGCCCCGGAGUCCCAGGCCCUUUGCGUUGGAGGCAGUGGCUGGGGGCCCCCUGUAAGCAGGGAAGCUGGCUCUUUGGCCGCUGCUUUUUGUACGCCCAGCCCCAUUUGCCCAGCCUGUCCGCCUCUGUGAUCCCCCGCAGCACCGGCUGGAAGUCCGCCGCGCGUCAGUGAGGAGCUGCUGCAGAAGAAAGAAGAAGCAGCAGCGUGGGGACCUGGGCUUCAAAUCAAGAAAAAUCAACCUACGGUUGAGGAACAAUGUGAAGGUGAAGCCAGGUUUGCUGGAUGAGAUUUGUCUCGUGGCUAUUCAACUACCUGGGCUCUCCCUCUUCUGCACAGGACAGGAAGAGAAAUCAAGAUGGAACAGCUGGUGGGAGAUGGCCUACCUGGCUAGUGUUAAAGGAAACAGAGUUUGGACUUUGGGAAAAUUGAUUUCACUUAUUCUGGGUAAUCCUGAAUGCUGCUAUGCUUUUCUCUGAUUUUGAAUUAAUAGGAAUCAGAUAUAUGCUCUUGCUGAUUUGAUGGAACUUAAAUAAAUUCACGUGGUGAGGAGAGGCAAAGAUCUUUUUGUGGUUACACGAGGAUUUCCCUCAAUGAGGUUUAUUUACAGCAACGGAUUCCACAGUGCCUUACCCAACUUGUAGAGAGGGUAAUAUCACACAGUUUUGCAGCCUCAUCUGAAAUCUCACCAUAGAAAGAGUUCAUGAGCUUAUUUUUCUUGAAAUACGUGGUUCUUUUGUGAUCUCAUCUUUAUUGUAUUAGCACUGAUUACUCGCUUCUGAAAAUGUAUCUAUCGCACAGUCCUGCUUUGACUGAGGCCUCUCUAUGGCAGUCAGUCUUUAGUGCGUUACUUUUCUGUUUCUCUCUGUUUAACUUCUGAGUGCAUUAACACCAAGAGCUUGAGACAAAGCUAGUGUAACGUAAUCUACUUGUUAUUUUGCCCUGUUGGCACCACAGAAAGAAGGGAGAAGAGUUGCUGUAGGAAAGUCUUGCAGCUGUAACUUUUCCAUGUAACACUGAGUGUUUUUCUGUGACAAGAAUUACAUUUUCCACUGAGGAGGCCCAAGACCAGGUGGCAACAUGUAAACUCUUGUAACUUCCUUGUUUGUGUUUUCAGUCUGGUUCUAAAGCAGAAUAAACCCCAUUGCCUGCUGGAUAUGCCUUCUGAGCACUGUGAGGAAAAAAUCCUCUGUUAUUUUUGAGCCAAAUAAGUGACAAUGACCCCUGGACCCCAAGACCUUUCCUGACAUUAGAAGGCUUCUCCUAUCAGCAAAUGAAGUCACGACCUAACCUAGUGACCGGUAGCUGACUUUGUAUUUGUGUUGGUUGCUCUGAAAGUAAUGC